UAGGAGAAGUUGAGGACAAGGAACAUUAGACACCUCUGGUCUCAGACCAGCUGAAGACGACUUCUUGCUCACUGCCCUGGCCAGCAACCCUGCAGAAGCAUGUCAUGAAGGGAUGAUCAGGGCUGAUGGAGCUUCAGGGAUGUGCUUCAAAGAGCUUUUCUAUUACUGUUCAUCGUCUUCACAGCUCUGGUCACUGUGUCAGGCUCCCGGCAAGAUACCCCAGCAGGAGGGAAGGAUGGCGACCACCUGACCUGGGGCCCGGCCCUGCUAUGGAGUUGUCAUGGCAUCUGC